rnacentral:tRNA from 1 species
GAUUAUAUAGCUCAGUAGUAGAGUGCAUUCUUAGUAUGUGUGAGGUCCUGGGUUUAAUCCCCAGUACUUCCA